rnacentral:rRNA from 1 species
GAUGAACGCUGACAGAAUGCUUAACACAUCAGCAACUGAUUGGUGGCGGACGGGUGAGUAAGGCGUAAAGAACUUACCGCACAGUUAGGGACAACAUGUGGAAACGAAUGCUAAUACCUAAUACUGUGAGAGAGCUUUGCGUACCAUUAGCUAGUUGGAGAGGUAACGGCUCACCAAGGCGAUGAUGGGUAGCCGGCCUGAGAGGGUGAUCGGCCCCAAGGGGACUGAGACACGGCCCUGACGCCUACUGGAGGCAGCAGUGGGGAAUAUUGGACAAUGGACCAAAGUCUGAUCCAGCAAUUCUGUGUGCACGAUGAAGUUUUCGGAAUGUAAAGUGCUUUCAGUUGUGAAGCGGGACCAACAGAAGAAGUGACGGCUAAAUACGUGCCAGCAGCCGCGGUAAGUAC